rnacentral:misc_RNA from 1 species
AUGUUAAGAGAAAUAAUUGCCAAUGGAAAGAUUAGCCAUUCACCGGAAUUAAAAUGAUCAAUUCCACUUUAUUUCGAUCCUCUUAACGGGGAGUCGACUUUUCUAAUCAGGCAGGUGUGAUUGCCUUAUCACAAUUUUCCGCGUUAAAUGCUUCGGUUGACCUUGGCCUCGAAAUGGAAUACUUACGGAAUCUGGCAUGAUUCCCGAAGAAAAGAGACCUCAGCUGUAUCAAUACAAAGUCUAAUCACGAUUUUCUAAAAUCUCCUAAAUAUAUUUAUUCCAGUAAAGAACGAAAGAAAUCAUUUUUUUUUCCUCAAAAAAAUGAAAUCUCGUGAACUUCAAGAUCUUCGUUAAGACCUCCUUGAUCACGUGUUAAAGUUUCAUAUUAUCCAGGGCACUCAUUUAGGAGAAAAGAUUUAUAAGCAUUAUAAUAUGUAUAGAAUGACCCUUUCAUAUCACCUUAAUAAUAUAAUUAGUGUAUAAUUAUUCAUUUUUAUGUCACCUUGUAUGUAACAUCGGAAUAUACGCUUGUAUAGCCGACUCUAGACAUGUCAAGAGUACGCGAUAAACAUUCAAGGUCUGUCGAGCUGUUUCAACCGCCUUGCUCUUCGAGAGCCAUUAAAUUGUCAUUAAACUGACCGUCAUCGAGGUCAUCUAGAAACAGCCUGUGUCAAUGGUCACAUGGACAAGUGUUAAAUCGGCAAUCAGCGCGGUCGAUAAUCGAUAUUCGAUUGCAGUCGCACUUAUAGUUCGGCUUCGCCUUUCGGAUGGUCAGUGGGAAAUUCAGUCGCGGAUUGACGGAUCCUCGAAGACGAUGUCAACGUACUUUCUGGACCCCCGAGGAGUCUUGACAAUUGUCAUCGCUUCUGUCAUCUUCGGGGAUGCUGUCAACGCGGAGCGCAAGAGUGUCGAAAAGUGCAAGGAGUACUCGAAGCUGGUCUACGUGGAGGAAGUCUCUCCUGUCCUCCGAUUAGGAACGGCCUCGAAGAGGGUUUCGAAAUGCACCACAAACAAAACCCCACUGAUCGUCGGCGGCGAAAAAGCGACACCUGCGGAAUUUCCGCACCAGGCUGUUAUCGGCUUCGGAAGCGGAACAGACAAGGCUUGGGAUUGCGGAGGUUCAAUUAUCUCCGAAAGUUACAUCUUGACUGCAGCGCAUUGUCUGGAGUCCUCGGAAGGGAACCCUGCAGCCGUUGUCCGGGUUGGCCUGACGAACCUGAAGAGCCCCGAGAGUACAAUGCAAGAGAGAAAAGUCAUGGAGAAGAUCAUUCAUCCCGACUAUCGGUUACCGUCCAAGUACAACGACAUGGCAUUGUUAAAAUUGGAAAAGCCUCUUCUCCUCGACCACAACGUAAGGCCGGCUUGCCUCGAGGUCGAGGCGGAGACCUCGAAGUACGGGAACAAAGCUGUGGCUUCAGGCUUCGGGAAGACUUCUAAUGACGAGACGGAGGGCAGUCCGGACCUGAUGAAGGUGCAGCUGGACUACGUGUCGAGGGAGGUCUGCGAGGAGCUCUUCAAGACUGAGAUAGGUGGAAGUCAACUCCCAGAAGGGAUGAUCCCCUCUCUUCUCUGCGCAGGCGUGCUGGCAGGAGAGAAGGACACUUGCCAGGGCGACAGCGGAGGUCCUCUUCAGCGCAUCCUGGACACUCCUUACUGCAUGUACAGCAUCGUCGGGGUUACGAGUUUCGGUCGUUUCUGCGCCUCGAAGGACUCCCCAGGGAUCUACUCCCGGGUCAGCUCGUAUCUGGACUGGAUCGAGAGCAUCGUCUGGCCGUAGCCUCGGGGAAGCUGAAGAGAGUAUUUAAAGAUCACCAGGAACCUAGAGGAGCGAUAUAGCGUGAUAAUAAAAAGGUCUUAUCUACCCUUGAACCGCGUCGACCGGAAGGGUCGUCAAAAAUUCUUGAUCGAGGUCAUAAGUCGACUGGUUCCAAUCAGCGAGGUCUUGAGGUCGAUAAGAUGUGAAGAUUGAUUUUAGAUGCGAAGGUCGACCUUAAGGGCGAAAAUUGAUCUUAGAUGCGAAGGUAGACCUUAAGGGCGAAAAUUGAUCUUAGAUGCGAAAGUCGACCUUAAGGGCGAAAAUUGAUCUUAGAUGCGAAGGUCGACCUUAAGGGCGAAAAUUGAUCUUAGAUGCGAAGAUCGACCUUAAGGGCGAAAAUUGAUCUUAGAUGCGAAGGUCGACCUUAAGGACGAAAAUUGAUCUUACAUGCGAAGGUCGACCUUAAGGGCGAAAAUUGAUCGUAGAUGCGAAUGUCGACCUUAAGGGUGAAAAUUGAUCUUAAAUGCGAAUGUCGACCUUAAGUGCGAUGCUUGUUUUAGAUGCGAAGGUUGACCUUAAGGGCGAAAAUUGAUCUUAAAUGCGGACAAGAAGUCUCUUCCUUAAAAACGACUCAGCCGAAUCAUGUAUUUCGUCGACAGCCUCGACAACGCUUCUCCUUUACAGACUACGGAAAAAAAAAAUAACUCGAGUAAAAUUGGCUACACCGUUUUCGAUAAAUCCGUGGAAACGGAUUCAAAAGACUUUUCUAAUGGACGCUCAAUUAAUCGCUAGAGCUCCAAUUAAACUGUGCAGAUUGCAAAUCGCUGCGAGUUUUUCGUCUCACGUGGGGCCACCUUUACACCUGUCGCGCACAUGGAGAUCUUCCGGAUACAUAUACACGCGACCACGUACACACAUACACCCACAUACAUAUUUAUGUAUAAAACAGAAGAAACACAAGGGACGCACUUAUCAAUUGUCAUUGUUGAACUUGUGUCUCCCUAAAGGUGGCCACUCACGUACCGAUGAAUUUAGAAAAAAAUUCGAUCUGCAGAUUUAACCGACGCGUGGCCCUUAUUAAACUCGAGUUAACUGUACAAGUUGUAAAUAACUAGAGAUUAUCGUCAUACGAUGUAACCGCCUUUGCAUAAACGCGCGUAUUUGUAUAUGUAUAAAAAAGGGAAGAGAAAGAAAUUGGGAUCGUUCAUCAAUUAA